rnacentral:misc_RNA from 1 species
CAUAGCGGUACCUCUUUUUCAUCCGUGCGGUCGGUCACGAACACUCACUAGUCAAUUCUCGCUUCAGGCAACACGGCACUCGUCGCACUUCCUGUUUAACACGCACACACAAAGAAAGAAUAGAAAAUUUCAACUGAACUCAAACUUGCGACUACUUGUGCGACACACCUCGCGCGCCGAUCGCACUUCAGCCAAAACACAGAGGCUGUCUUUUCGAUAUCAAGGCCCGUUGCGGAGCGGGGCCCACACCGCCACCUUCUUUUCCUCGAGGGCAUACGUCGUCCACCACUCAACGUGUACUUAUACGGAGGACGUAAAUAAAGCAGCAACUACCGCCGCCCCCGCAACUGUAGCCCAGACGAAGCGCGGUCUAUCGACGGGGCGCAGAGGAACACAUUACACACUAGAUGCACUUCUCAGAGAAAAUCUCUUCCCACUCAUUCAGCAGGAACGCCGACCCCCCCCCCCCCCCCCCCAAAAAAAAAAGAACAACAGCAAACAAAGGAAACGAGAAGAGGUGGCGAGAGUGCGCAAGGCAACUCAGUCACGUCAUCUUCAGCUGUGCUCACGAUUGCGCCCAUCUCUGCGCCCCAUCCAAACCGCAGCUCAAGCUCACGCACUCAGACACACCCAGCUUUCUCGUCAACGCACAGUGAUCACGCCUUGUCCUGACGCACGCACACUCACGCGCACACUCAUAUCGGCAUCUACAUACUCUGCUUCACUGCCGACUGCCCUUCUACCGACCCACCCUCUUGCCAUUCACUCACCCCUCUUCUCUCGCUUGCUCUAUGACUGACAUACCCCACCCCCACCCGCACCCUCUUGACGCAUAACUGCACAUCGACGCUGUGCUGCACGCCUGACUGCCAUCAG